rnacentral:rRNA from 1 species
GUGCAGCAGGCGAGAAACCUCCGCAAUGCGCGCAAGCGCGACGGGGCCAUCCCGAGUGCCGCUCGCUGAGGGCGGCUUUUCUCCGGUGUAAGUAGCCGGAGGAAUAAGGAGAGGGCAAGUCUGGUGUCAGCCGCCGCGGUAAUACCAGCUCUCCGAGUGGUGGGGACGAUUAUUGGGCCUAAAGCGUCCGUAGCCGGCUUGACAAGUCUCCCGUUAAAUCCAGCGGCCUAACCGCUGGGCUGCGGGAGAUACUGUCAAGCUUGGGGGCGGGAGAGGCCGGCGGUAUUCCCGGGGUAGGGGUGAAAUCCGUUAAUCCCGGGAGGACCACCAGUGGCGAAGGCGGCCGGCCAGAACGCGCCCGACGGUGAGGGACGAAAGCUGGGGGAGCGAACCGGAUUAGAUACUCCUGUAGU